UGAAGUGACCAAAUAAAUAGGAGUGCAAAAUAGGAGGAUUUGCAUGACAAGCCUCCCAUUUUACAUGAAGUGGCCAGCCAUCAUGUUGAAUGUAGACAAAAUGUACACUUGAUAUCCAUAAUUUAUGGUACAAAUUGAUACAAAUUGAUAAUAGGUUAGGUAAAUGUUUCAUGAUAAUGUGUUAGGUAAAUGUUUCAUGAUAAUGGGUUAGGUAAAUGUUUUAUGAUAAUGUAUUAGGUAAAUGUUUCAUGAUAAUGGGUUAGGUAAAUGUUUCAUGAUAAGAAUUUCAUGUCUUUUGUAUUAAAGAAUUAAAUGGAUGAAAUAUGAAGUUUUAUUAAAGAAAAAGGGGUGAAAAGAACAAAGUUUUGUCCAUCUUUGUUCAUCAUAGCUGAAAGUUAGAGAAGAGAAAGGAGAGGAGAAAGCUCUUGAGUAUUUGGUCAUUAGGAGGAGGAGAAUUGAAGGAAAUCCCCAACCAUAGUGGGCUUGGAGCUGUGAGGGAAUUCGGAGUGGCCACCCGUUCUGAAAGUUUGAUUUUCUUCUGGUGAACUGGACAUCCUUUUAAUUACGUUUGUGGUUUUGGGCUUUUAAAUGUAAUAAGGCCGCUUAUUUAUUUUUGGUGGUUUUUAAUAUGUAUUAGUAAGAUAGGUAAUACUUAUUUUAACUGUUGAAAUUGGAUAGCUUUAGGGCGCGUUUUCAAAAACAA